UUUGUACACCUAUAUCUUUACCUAGCCAGCAUAGGAAUUAAAAGAGGUAGCGGGCACUAGAGCCAAAAGCAAAUAAUCUUACAUUGAACGAGUAAGACUGAGGACUCGGCGGACUUUGUCCGAGAAAACCCUCUUCACAUUGAAGGGGUGGAAGAUCGAGUGAAAAAGUAGAACUGUUGUUUCCCACUGCAUGUAUCGUAAGAGGCGACUAAUGUGAGGCCCCUGCAGGAUUGGGGAUUUGCUAAAGGGACAAAAAUAAAUCGGCUGCAUCCAUUGCAGUAUUUGAGAUCUCUGUGUUUCUUCUUUCUGUUGACUGCCCUCGAAGUCUCUCAGCUGCAUGAAUUCCGGGUUACGUCUUCGGAUU